ensembl:misc_RNA
UUGCCCAUCUGGGUUGUGGAUACCUGCUUUUAUUCUU